GACGAACGCUGGCGGCGUGCUUAACACAUGCAAGUCGAACGGAAAGGCCCUGCUUUUGUGGGGUGCUCGAGUGGCGAACGGGUGAGUAACACGUGAGUAACCUGCCCUUGACUUUGGGAUAACUUCAGGAAACUGGGGCUAAUACCAGAUAGGAGCUCCUGCUGCAUGGGGGGGGUUGGAAAGUUUCGGCGGUUGGGGAUGGACUCGCGGCUUAUCAGCUUGUUGGUGGGGUAGUGGCUUACCAAGGCUUUGACGGGUAGCCGGCCUGAGAGGGUGACCGGCCACAUUGGGACUGAGAUACGGCCCAGACUCCUACGGGAGGCAGCAGUGGGGAAUAUUGCACAAUGGGCGGAAGCCUGAUGCAGCAACGCCGCGUGCGGGAUGACGGCCUUCGGGUUGUAAACCGCUUUCGCCUGUGACGAAGCGUGAGUGACGGUAAUGGGUAAAGAAGCACCGGCUAACUACGUG
rnacentral:rRNA from 1 species